CGCUCCCCCAGUCUGGUCAUGUCAGCAGCUGCACAUUCCAUGCACAUCCUCCUAGUCAUCUGGGGUGGGCGGAAGGGCAGCACCUGGAUUUUCCAACCACCUCUGGCCGCUGCCAACAAGCAAGAGCUGACCAGAAGAGUUGACCUGAAAACCCGAAAAAGAGACGAGUAAUGGAGAAGGAACAACACCAGUCCAAGACAGACUGUCCAAACUAUAACCUAGGACCCUAUUCUUCUCCAUCUAUACUUAUGGCGUGAAGAAGAACAUAGAAUCCCAUGGCUGUCGUCAUCACUUGUAUGCCGUUAACAAUACAGUUUACCUCAUUAGCUCAAUUAUAAAGCAAGCAAAGUUUGGGCACCAAUUCUUAGAUGCAGAAGUCUAAACACAAUAAAAAAUAUGAAGCUUA